AAGAAAGUGGCAGAGUGGCUAAGCAGUUGGCUUGAAACCAGCGUACGGGGGUUCGAUUCCCUCUUUUCUCG
rnacentral:tRNA from 1 species